rnacentral:rRNA from 1 species
AUACGGAGGGUGCAAGCGUUAAUCGGAAUUACUGGGCGUAAAGCGCGCGUAGGCGGCUAAGUAAGUCGGAUGUGAAAGCCCUGGGCUUAACCUGGGAAUUGCAUUCGAUACUGCUUGGCUAGAGUAUGGUAGAGGGUAGUGGAAUUCCUGGUGUAGCGGUGAAAUGCGUAGAUAUCAGGAGGAACAUCAGUGGCGAAGGCGGCUACCUGGACCAAUACUGACGCUGAGGUGCGAAAGCGUGGGGAGCAAACAGGAUUAGAUACCCCAGUAGUCC